GACGAACGCUGGCGGCGUGCUUAACACAUGCAAGUCGAACGGAAAGGCCCUGCUUUUGUGGGGUGCUCGAGUGGCGAACGGGUGAGUAACACGUGAGUAACCUGCCCUUGACUUUGGGAUAACUUCAGGAAACUGGGGCUAAUACCGGAUAGGAGCUCCUGCUGCAUGGUGGGGGUUGGAAAGUUUCGGCGGUUGGGGAUGGACUCGCGGCUUAUCAGCUUGUUGGUGGGGUAGUGGCUUACCAAGGCUUUGACGGGUAGCCGGCCUGAGAGGGUGACCGGCCACAUGGGGACUGAGAUACGGCCCAGACUCCAACGGGAGGCAGCAGUGGGGAAUAUUGCACAAUGGGCGGAAGCCUGAUGCAGCAACGCCGCGUGCGGGAUGACGGCCUUCGGGUUGUAAACCGCUUUCGCCUGUGACGAAGCGUGAGUGACGGUAAUGGGUAAAGAAGCACCGGCUAACUACGUG
rnacentral:rRNA from 1 species